UACGUAGGGGGCAAGCGUUGUCCGGAUUUAUUGGGCGUAAAGAGCUCGUAGGUGGUUCGGUAAGUCGGAUGUGAAAUCUCCAGGCUCAACCUGGAGGGGUCAUUCGAUACUGCCGUGACUAGAGGUCGGUAGGGGAGUGUGGAAUUCCUGGUGGAGCGGUGAAAUGCGCAGAUAUCGGGAAGAACACCCGUGGCGAAGGCGGUUCUCUGGGACGGUACUGACGCUGAGACGCGAAAGCGUGGGGAGCGAACAGG
rnacentral:rRNA from 1 species